rnacentral:rRNA from 1 species
GACGAACGCUGGCGGCGUGCCUAAUACAUGCAAGUCGAACGCACAGUUUAUACCGUAGCUUGCUACACCAUAGACUGUGAGUUGCGAUCGUGUGAGUAAUGCGUAGGUAACCUGCCUGGUAGCGGGGGAUAACUAUUGGAAACGAUAGCUAAUACCGCAUAAUAGUGAUUAUUGCACGAUAAUUAAUUGAAAGGUUCAACUGCACCACUACCAGAUGGACCUGCGUUGUAUUAGCUAGUAGGUGAGGUAACGGCUCACCUAGGCGACGAUACAUAGCGAACUGGGAAGGUGAUCGGCCACACUGGGACUGAGACACGGCCCAGACUUCUACGGGGGGCAGCAAUAGGGAAUCUUCGGAAAAGGACGAAAGUCUGACCCAGCAACGCCGGGUGAGUGAAGAAGGUUCUCGGGUCGUAAAGCUCUGUUGUAAGAGAAGAACGGGUGUGAGAGUGAAAAGUUCACACUGUGACGGUAUCUUACCAGAAAGGGACGGCUAACUACGUG